rnacentral:rRNA from 1 species
CCUACGGGAGGCAGCAGUAAGGAAUAUUGGUCAAUGGGCGAAAGCCUGAACCAGCCACGCCGCGUGAAGGAAGACGGCCCUAUGGGUUGUAAACUUCUUUUCUACGGGAAUAAACCUCAGGACGUGUCCUGAGCUGAAGGUACCGUAGGAAUAAGGAUCGGCUAACUCCGUGCCAGCAGCCGCGGUAAUACGGAGGAUCCAAGCGUUAUCCGGAUUUAUUGGGUUUAAAGGGUGCGUAGGUGGGAUAAUAAGUCAGAGGUGAAAGCUAGCAGCUUAACUGUUAAAUUGCCUUUGAUACUGUUAUUCUUGAGUGUAGUUGGCGUUGGCGGAAUGUGACAUGUAGCGGUGAAAUGCGUAGAUAUGUCACAGAACACCGAUCGCGAAGGCAGCUAACGAAGCUAUCACUGACACUGAUGCACGAAAGCGUGGGGAGCAAACAGGAUUAGAUACCCUGGUAGUCCACGCCGUAAACGAUGAUAACUCGACGUUGGCAAUAUACCGUUCAGCGUCCAAGCGAAAGCGUUAAGUUAUCCACCUGGGGAGUACGAUCGCAAGGUUGAAACUCAAAUGAAUUGACGA